rnacentral:rRNA from 1 species
GAUGAACGCUGGCGGCGUGCCUAAUACAUGCAGGUCGAGCGAGACUCUUCGGAGUCUAGCGGCGGACGGGUGAGUAACACGUGGGCAACCUGCCUGUAAGACUGGGAUAACACCGGGAAACCGGUGCUAAUACCGGAUAAUCCCUUUCCUCUCAUGAGGAAAAGCUGAAAGUCGGUUUCGGCUGACACUUACAGAUGGGCCCGCGGCGCAUUAGCUAGUUGGUGAGGUAACGGCUCACCAAGGCGACGAUGCGUAGCCGACCUGAGAGGGUGAUCGGCCACACUGGGACUGAGACACGGCCCAGACUCCUACGGGAGGCAGCAGUAGGGAAUCUUCCACAAUGGACGAAAGUCUGAUGGAGCAACGCCGCGUGAGCGAUGAAGGCCUUCGGGUCGUAAAGCUCUGUUGUUAGGGAAGAACAAGUACCGGAGUAACUGCCGGUACCUUGACGGUACCUAACCAGAAAGCCACGGCUAACUACGUGCCAGCCGCCGCAGUAA